AUUAUACUCCCUUCGUCCAAAAAUACUUGUCUGAGGAAUGAAUGUAUCUAGAUGUAUUUUAGUUCUAGAUACAUCCGUUUAUAUUUAUUUUUGCGACAAGUAAUUCCAGACGGAGAGAGUACAAA
rnacentral:pre_miRNA from 1 species